rnacentral:rRNA from 1 species
GUGUCAGCAGCCGCGGUAAAACGUAGGACGCGAGCGUUAUCCGGAGUUACUGGGCGUAAAGGGCAGGCAGGCGGGCUGACAAGUUGGGCGUGAAAUCUCCCGGCUUAACCGGGAGGGUGCGUUCAAGACUGUCAGGCUGGGGUACAGCAGAGGUGCGUGGAAUUCCGGGUGGAGUGGUGAAAUGCGUAGAGAUCCGGAGGAACACCAGAGGCGAAAGCGGCGCACUGGGCUGAUACCGACGCUGAACUGCGAAAGCCAGGGGAGCGAACGGGAUUAGAUACCCUCGUAGUCC